UGGGGAAUCUUGCACAAUGGGGGCAACCCUGAUGCAGCGACGCCGCGUGAGCGAUGAAGCCCUUCGGGGCGUAAAGCUCUUUCGACCGGAACGAUAAUGACGGUACCGGGAGAAGAAGCUGCGGCUAACUACGUGCCAGCAGCCGCGGUAAUACGUAGGCAGCACGCGUUGUUCGGAGUUACUGGGCGUAAAGAGUGCGUAGGCGGUUUUCUAAGUUCGGUGUGAAAUCUCCCGGCUUAACUGGGAGGGUGCGCCGAAGACUGGGAAGCUGGAGUGUGGGCAAGGCAGGCGGAAUUCCUGGUGUAGCGGUGAAAUGCGUAGAUAUCAGGAGGAACACCGGCGGUGUAGACGGCUUGCUAGACCAUAACUGACGCUGAGGCACGAAAGCGUGGGUAGCAAACA
rnacentral:rRNA from 1 species